rnacentral:rRNA from 1 species
UACGUAGGGUGCGAGCGUUGUCCGGAUUUAUUGGGCGUAAAGAGCUCGUAGGCGGCUUGUCGCGUCGAAUGUGAAAUCCUGCGGCUCAACUGCAGGCUUGCAUUCGAUACGGGCAGGCUCGAGUUCGGUAGGGGAGACUGGAAUUCCUGGUGUAGCGGUGAAAUGCGCAGAUAUCAGGAGGAACACCGGUGGCGAAGGCGGGUCUCUGGGCCGAUACUGACGCUGAGGAGCGAAAGCGUGGGGAGCGAACAGG